AACGAACGCUGGCGGCAUGCCUAACACAUGCAAGUCGAACGAGACCUUCGGGUCUAGUGGCGCACGGGUGCGUAACGCGUGGGAACCUGCCCUUAGGUUCGGAAUAACUCCCCGAAAGGGGUGCUAAUACCGGAUAAUGUCUUCGGACCAAAGAUUUAUCGCCUUUGGAUGGGCCCGCGUUGGAUUAGCUAGUUGGUAGGGUAAAAGCCUACCAAGGCGACGAUCCAUAGCUGGUCUGAGAGGAUGAUCAGCCACACUGGGACUGAGACACGGCCCAGACUCCGAGGGGGGGCAGCGGGGGGGAAUAUUGAAAAAGGGCCGAAGCCCUGACCCACCAAUGCCGCGGGAGUGAUGAAGCCCUUAGGGUUGAAAAGCUUUUUCCCCCGGGAUGAUAAUGACAGUCCCGGGAAAAUAAGCCCCGCCAAACUCCGUG
rnacentral:rRNA from 1 species